AGAAGUUUCUAACGUGAGCCAAGACACGUUGGCGCCACAGAGCCUAUUCGCCGAAACCAUCAGCACGGGGAAACAGCUGGAGCGAUGUGGGUAGAAAAGACUGCGAUUUCCACCUAGCCGGGAUUUGGUGGCAGGGGCCAGACCAAAGGACACUUCUGACAGCUCUGGGGGCACCAGGAAACAGGGAUGACACUCUGUGGACAAUGAGUUUACUAUCUUUCUCACCAUUUCCAAGGGCCAUGGGUUCUACUAUAUACCUGCAAACUGGAUCCUGAAUUCUUCUAGUUUUCUAAACAAUCUGGCUAUGACUCUUCAAACUAACAUUUCCAAUUUUCUCUCACCUUUCUGAUUCGGAAUCAAUGAGAACAAAGACUGCUCUUGAAUCUCUUUGGAAGGGAGUACACCAGGUCCUCCGCACCACCCAGAUGGUGGCCAGACUCCAGGGACUCUGACAUGCAUCUCACAGCUGACAUCUGGUCCUACACAAACAUUGGAGAUCCUCCAAUCAAAGUGAUUAGAAAGAGAAGUAGCUGACAUGGAGGUAGACUGCUUCCUCCCAAGAUGCCAGAUCAAGGCUUCAUACUUUAGCUAAAUAUAAAACCCUUUCUUCUUCCCUUUCUUUCCUUCACUCUGGAGCUGGCCUAGAAAGAUAAUGCCAUCAUCCAUAUCUCCUGGGCCAUGGCUAAGGAGGGCAACCUCUGGAACCUAGGACAAUCUUUUAUUUCAGGCUAAGAGAAGACCUAACUUAUCCCUGGUUUGAAUGGGUAAAUGCAACAAUCCCUGGAAUGAAUCCAUUAACAGUGCUACCUUAUUGAGAAGUAUUUUGUGCCCCGAGAGGGGUUGUUGUCUUUGCGGUAUUUAUCACUCUCCUUGGGCCUAUGAAUGACUAGGCAGCUGGGACACAGCCAGGAAAUAAAUGCCUUUUAGGUUAUCCAACUGUGCCCCUAGGCUUUCCACAAUUGAACUAAGAUACCUCAUUGUACAAUUUCCCUGGAUUUAUGUGACCAAGUUAGAGAAAGAAUUGAGUUAAAAAGGAAUCAUCGAGUUAGAUAAUUGAGUUAAGAAAGGAAUUAUUCAGGAUUUAGGAUUCACUUCCUUUGGCAGGGCUACACCUCCCUGGUUAGGAAUAGAGUUCUAAAUGUUCAUUAGAAUAUGAUCAGAAACCUCUCUUUCACUCUUGAAGAUAUUGUAGAAUCUGCUGCUAAAACAGUAGCUGCCCAAUAAAGAUCCUUAGACUCUCUAGCCAAAGUUCUUU